rnacentral:rRNA from 1 species
AGUGAACGCUGGCGGUAGGCCUAACACAUGCAAGUCGAACGGCAGCACAGUAAGAGCUUGCUCUUACGGGUGGCGAGUGGCGGACGGGUGAGGAAUACAUCGGAAUCUACUUUUUCGUGGGGGAUAACGUAGGGAAACUUACGCUAAUACCGCAUACGACCUACGGGUGAAAGCAGGGGAUCUUCGGACCUUGCGCGAUUGAAUGAGCCGAUGUCGGAUUAGCUAGUUGGCGGGGUAAGGGCCCACCAAGGCGACGAUCCGUAGCUGGUCUGAGAGGAUGAUCAGCCACACUGGAACGGAGACACGGUCCAGACUCCUACGGGAGGCAGCAGUGGGGAAUGUUGGACAAUGGGCGCAAGCCUGAUCCAGCCAUACCGCGUGGGUGAAGAAGGCCUUCGGGUUGUAAAGCCCUUUUGUUGGGAAAGAAAAGCAGCAGGUUAAUACCCCGCUGUUCUGACGGUACCCAAAGAAUAAGCACCGGCUAACUUCGUG